UAUAUCUAUACUCCGCAGAUGCAGUUCAUUUGAAACUUGCAAGAACGGGCCUUGUUCUAACAAGUCCUUUCCAACAGGUUUCUAGUGAACCCCAUUACGUGCAUCGGUCGUACAC
rnacentral:precursor_RNA from 10 species